GUCUACGGCCAUGCUACCCUGAACAAGCCCGAUCCCGUCUGAUCUCGAUCCCGUCUGAUCUCGGAAGCGAAGCAGGGUCGGGCCUGGUUAGUACUUAGAUGAGAGACUACCUAAGAAGACCAGGUACUAUAGGCA
ensembl:rRNA 5S_rRNA 5S ribosomal RNA